UUGACCUCGAAUCAGGUAGGAAUACCCGCUGAACUUAAGCAUAUCAAUAAGCGGAGGAAAAGAAACCAACAGGGAUUGCCCCAGUAACGGCGAGUGAAGCGGCAACAGCUCAAAUUUGAAAUCUGGCCCCCCGGGGCCCGAGUUGUAAUUUGCAGAGGAUGCUUUUGGCGAGGCGCCUUCCGAGUUCCCUGGAACGGGACGCCAUAGAGGGUGAGAGCCCCGUCUGGUCGGACGCCGAGCCUCUGUAAAGCUCCUUCGACGAGUCGAGUAGUUUGGGAAUGCUGCUCUAAAUGGGAGGUAUAUGUCUUCUAAAGCUAAAUACCGGCCAGAGACCGAUAGCGCACAAGUAGAGUGAUCGAAAGAUGAAAAGCACUUUGAAAAGAGGGUUAAAUAGUACGUGAAAUUGUUGAAAGGGAAGCGCUUGUGACCAGACUUGGGCCCGGCGGAUCACCCAGCGUUCUCGCUGGUGCACUCCGGCGGGCCCAGGCCAGCAUCAGCUCGUCCCGGGGGACAAAGGCGGCGGGAACGUGGCUCCUCCGGGAGUGUUAUAGCCCACCGCGCAAUGCCCUGGGGCGGGCUGAGGACCGCGCAUCUGCAUGGAUGCUGGCGUAAUGGUCAUCAGCGACCCGUCUUGAA
rnacentral:rRNA from 1 species